rnacentral:rRNA from 1 species
UACGUAGGGUGCAAGCGUUAAUCGGAAUUACUGGGCGUAAAGCGUGCGCAGGCGGUUUUGUAAGUCAGAUGUGAAAUCCCCGGGCUCAACCUGGGAACUGCAUUUGUGACUGCACAGCUGGAGUGCGGCAGAGGGGGAUGGAAUUCCGCGUGUAGCAGUGAAAUGCGUAGAUAUGCGGAGGAACACCGAUGGCGAAGGCAAUCCCCUGGGCCUGCACUGACGCUCAUGCACGAAAGCGUGGGGAGCAAACAGG